rnacentral:rRNA from 1 species
CCUACGGGUGGCAGCAGUGGGGAAUAUUGGGCAAUGGGCGCAAGCCUGACCCAGCAACGCCGCGUGAAGGAAGAAGGCUUUCGGGUUGUAAACUUCUGUUGUCAGGGAAGAGUAGAAGACGGUACCUGACCAAUAAACCACGGCUAACUACGUUCCAGAAGCCGCGGUAAUACGUAGGGGGCAAGCGUUGUCCGGAUUUACUGGGGGUAAAGGGCGUGUAGCCGGGUUGAUAAGUCAGAUGUGAAAUCCUGUGGCUUAACCGCAGAACUGCAUUUGAAACUGUUGAUCUUGAGUGCUGGAGAGGCAGACGGAAUUCCUAGUGUAGCGGUGAAAUGCGUAGAUAUUAGGAGGAACACCAGUGGCGAAGGCGGUCUGCUGGACAGCAACUGACGGUGAGGCGCGAAAGCGUGGGGAGCAAACAGGAUUAGAUACCCCAGUAGUC